GCCCCUCCUCUGCUCAGGCUCUAUUGUCUCUCUCUGUCUCAAAAUAAAUAAAAACAUUAAAAAAAUUUUUUAAAAUGCCAAGUUAUAACCACUGAAUAUAGAACUCCAUAUUUA